rnacentral:lncRNA from 1 species
CUCCAGCCUGGUGACAAGGCAAGACUCCAUCUCAAAAUAAUAAAAUAAAUAAAGUAAUUAUUAAAAAUACAAUUAAAAUGGAAAAUAAUGGUAAGGAAAACAAUAAAGGAGAUUACUCAAGGAAAAUGACAAGGGCUAGGGUCAUACCUCCGACAGAUCUCUCAUUUAAUGGUUGAAUCAAUGAGUCUUCAAGAGACGGAAAGGGGAUCCUAGGAUGGUAGAAAGAGAACCAAGGGAGUGUGUCAGCACAGAAUCUAAGGUAAGUGAUGGCUCCAGUGAAGAGGCAAGCAUCAUCAGUGCCUUGAGCUGCUAAGGGGCAAGAGAGUAAAGAAUUUAACAAUUGUUGGAUUUAGGGCAUGAAGGGUGUUGGUGAACUACUGUCUUUUUUGGUGGAGGGAUGUGGGCAGAAGCUAAUUGCAUGAACGUCAUUGCAAAUGGGAGGUGAGGAAACAGGAACAAGAGAACAGGCAGUGCAAACUGUUCUCACUGCGGCAGACGCCAUUCUUCCCACCAGCUUGGCUGUAGCAGGGAGAGAACAGCAGGACAGCAGUGGGAGAGAGAUGUGGCAUCCAGGGAGAUGUGCUUAUCGGCUUGCUUGCCUAUUUGCUGAAGACAGGAAUUUUGAGGAUGUUCACGCACAGCCUAACUGCCCCAUGCUGGACACGGGAGGGGACCACCCCACUCCUGGAGGAACAUUGGUCCCACUGACUGCAAAAGCCAACAAGCACAGCAAAUCGGACCCUGGAGCUGAUCCAAACAACGCAGAGGGAAGUAAAGGCACUUCGAUGUGUUCUUACACCUUCUCUUUUGCAAGAAGUCAUGCUAGAUUGCUUGAGAAAGUGCUAAUCACCGAGGUUUGGGAACCCCCCAUUCCUGGUGCCCAACAAAACAGUUGUUGA